rnacentral:rRNA from 1 species
CCUACGGGUGGCAGCAGUGAGGAAUAUUGGUCAAUGGACGAGAGUCUGAACCAGCCAAGUAGCGUGAAGGAUGACUGCCCUAUGGGUUGUAAACUUCUUUUAUAUGGGAAUAAAACGUUCCACGUGUGGGAUUUUGUAUGUACCAUAUGAAUAAGGAUCGGCUAACUCCGUGCCAGCAGCCGCGGUAAUACGGAGGAUCCGAGCGUUGUCCGGAUUUAUUGGGUUUAAAGGGAGCGUAGGUGGAUUGUUAAGUCAGUUGUGAAAGUUUGCGGCUCAACCGUAAAAUUGCAGUUGAAACUGGCAGUCUUGAGUACAGUAGAGGUGGGCGGAAUUCGUGGUGUAGCGGUGAAAUGCUUAGAUAUCACGAAGAACUCCGAUUGCGAAGGCAGUUCACUGGACUGCAACUGACACUGAGGCUCGAAAGUGUGGGUAUCAAACAGGAUUAGAUACCCUAGUAGUC